ACGAACGCUGGCGGCGUGCUUAACACAUGCAAGUCGAACGGAAAGGCCCUGCUUUUGUGGGGUGCUCGAGUGGCGAACGGGUGAGUAACACGUGAGUAACCUGCCCUUGACUUUGGGAUAACUUCAGGAAACUGGGGCUAAUACCGGAUAGGAGCUCCUGCUGCCUGGUGGGGGUUGGAAAGUUUCGGCGGUUGGGGAUGGACUCGCGGCUUAUCAGCUUGUUGGUGGGGUAGUGGCUUACCAAGGCUUUGACGGGUAGCCGGCCUGAGAGGGUGACCGGCCACAUUGGGACUGAGAUACGGCCCAGACUCCUACGGGAGGCAGCAGUGGGGAAUAUUGCACAAUGGGCGGAAGCCUGAUGCAGCAACGCCGCGUGCGGGAUGACGGCCUUCGGGUUGUAAACCGCUUUCGCCUGUGACGAAGCGUGAGUGACGGUAAUGGGUAAAGAAGCACCGGCUAACUACGU
rnacentral:rRNA from 1 species